UGUUAAGCAGGAAAAGAAUGAAGAGUUCCAGUUCAAUAAUUUGUGAACACUUUUAAGGCCACUAGCAUGCUUUUUGACAAAUGUGAUUGUACUCUGAAUACAUAUAAAAAUAUUAAAGCGUGUAUCUGAGGGAACACUGAUCUCUUUUUAUCAUCUUCUCAUUGUACAGAUGCGGAAACAGAUGCUCAUAGAAGGGGAGUGAUUUGCCCAGGAUAAGCCAGGUGGUCAGCGGCAGAUCCAGGACCAGAAGCUAAUCUCCUGACUCCUAGUCCAGUGAUAUUUUUACUCCAUCACUUACUAUUCAUGAAACAUGUAAAAAGACAGGGAUGGAAAAGCAAACUGACGCCUGCAUUGAAUGACUUCUUGAAGGUACUGGGGCUACAGAGUGGUGAACUUUGCCAUCAUAGAGAUGACGUUCUCGUAGGGAAUGGAGAUGUAGUGGUGAUUGCUAUGAAGAAAAAUGCAGAAAAGCAGGGUGGUGAGCUUCUUGCAUGUUACCCUUCAUAUACCAGGUCCUUGAAAGAGGGAUGAUGGUGAUGAGGACGAUGACGAUGGUUUCUACCGAGUCAAAAAAUCAAGACUGGAUCUCACAGCUCAUCUCUACACCCAGCAUGAGAGAGUUACCCAGCUUUCAAGUCAUCUUUAUGUUCUAUAAGGAGACUAAGAUCAUAUUAGGCCAAACAGAUUUGCUACUAAACUAUGAUGACCAACAAAAGAAUGGAAAUUGUAGAAAGAAGAGAACAAUCCUUUGUGUCUAG
rnacentral:lncRNA from 1 species